AAACUGAUCCCUCCGUGAAGAAGCGGAGAUAAACUUAUAAGACGAGAAGACCCCAUGGAGCUUUAAACCCAAUAGCACCCGGUUAUUGUAUAACCUUAUAUAUGUCCGGCCUUUGUCUACUUGGUUUUAGGUUGGGGUGACCACGGAGCAUAAAAAAGCCUCCAUGAAGAAAGGAGUAAGUAUCCUUAUCAGAGAAUGACACUUCCAAGAAUUAAUAAACUAAUUUUUAAUGAUCCGAUAUUCGAUCAACGAACCAAGUUACCCUGGGGAUAACAGCGCAAUCCACCUCAAGAGCCCCUAUCGACAGGUGGGUUUACGACCUCGAUGUUGGAUCAGGGUAUCCCAGUGGUGCAGCAGCUACUGAAGGUUCGUUUGUUCAACGAUUAAAACCCU
rnacentral:rRNA from 1 species